CACACCCCGGCUCCGCUCUCUUCCAGUAACAUUCAUCCCCCCCCCCCCUUGGCUCCCCGUCGCUCUCCGGCUCCGCUCCCCCGCUCCCUUCCCUUUCCAACAACGUCCCAUCUCGAUCCACCCCGUCGCGGCCCCCGGAUCUCUCUCUGAUUUACCACACCCCGCGCCCCGGUGCGCGUCCACUCAGCGCGAUCGCCCGCUCCAUCGAUCGAUCGCUGCUAGCUGCUAGCUCCCAGCCGCGCUUCUGAUCCUGCUUCGUGCUCCCUCAGUCGUCGCUGGCUCGCUCGCUUGCCAGCUCUCUCUCUCUCUCUCUCUCUCUCUCUCUCUCUCUCUCUCUCUCUCUCUCUCUCUCUCUCUCUCUCCCAGUAGUAGCUACUAGCUAGCUAGCUAUAGCUGGUUGCAUGGAUCCGUCCGGGCCCGGCCCGUCGUCGGCCGUGGGCGGAGGCGGCGACGCGCCGGCGGCCGUGGCGCCACAGCAGCGGCCGGCGCAGCUGAGCAGGUACGAGUCGCAGAAGCGGCGGGACUGGAACACGUUCCUGCAGUACCUGCGGAACCACCGGCCGCCGCUGACGCUGGCGCGGUGCAGCGGCGCGCACGUGAUCGAGUUCCUCAGGUACCUGGACCAGUUCGGCAAGACCAAGGUGCACGCCGCCGGGUGCGCCUACUACGGCCAGCCCGCGCCGCCGGGGCCCUGCCCGUGCCCGCUGCGCCAGGCCUGGGGCUCCCUCGACGCGCUCAUCGGCCGCCUGCGCGCCGCGUACGAGGAGAGCGGCGGCACGCCCGAGUCCAACCCCUUCGCCGCGCGCGCCGUGCGGAUCUACCUCCGCGAGGUACGCGACUCGCAGGCCAAGGCGCGCGGCAUCCCCUACGAGAAGAAGAAGCGCAAGCGCGCGCAGCAGCAGGCCGCCGAGCCGUCGUCGAGCUCGUCCGCCGCCGCCGCUGCCGGCGGGAGCGGGAGCGGGAGCAUCGGCAGUGCUGCAGCUGCGACGGCCGCCGCUCAUCAGGCUGGAGGGAGCAGCGCUGCACCGAGCAACACCUGAGUACAGUAGACCUGCAGAUCUUGUUUAAUUAAUUAUCGUCUCCGCAUCGCAAGAUUUGAGCUUUCUACUACUUUUGCUUUAUAUAUGCUUUGCGGUUGCUUCUUUCUCUGCCCAUUUCAUCAUCCUUUUUCUUAGCAGGGUUUUGGAUUCCCCCUUUUUUCCGAUUUAUUAGGAAGUAUAUAUAUGGCUAGAAAUUGGAGUAGUAGUAGUAGUAGUAGCUGAAAGGGGAAGAACUUGGCGACCAAUCGGUGCAAGGGCAACUGUGUGUUCAUGAUCUGAAACAUAUAUAUGUUCUUGGUAAAGCAAUGAAGAUUUGAGGCCAUGUUAAUGGCUUCCUAGCUACUAGCUUGCUAAUAACAUUUGUUGUCAAUGUCCCAAGCAUGCAUUUUUAAUUUGGUUCCAAACUCGCAUCUCAUAAUACUUGCUUCUAGUUAACGGAUAAUUUGCAUUUUCGAUCUAUAUGCUAUGAUGCAACCAAACACAUCACUGUACUAGCUAGCUAGUAUAUACUACAGUAGCAGCUGCCUAUCUUUUCUCAAGCAUUUCUUGUGUGUGUUUCUUUGCUGAACUUUUUUUCUUGUGUGUAUGUGUGUGUGUUUCUUGAGUGCCGCUGCCGCUUUUCAUUUCUCUUCUGAAUGAACGGAGCUGUUCAAAUGGGGAGGCAUACAGUCACACGAAGCCGGCAUUGAUGGCGGUGCCCCCUCCUUCCCGGGCACGCAUGGCGCACGCCCCUGACGGGCGCUACAGUGUUCUUCCCGGCUGCCCUAUCUCUCACUGACCCAGUCCUCUCCUCCAUCCCACCAGAGCUGACCAACUCCCAUUUACCAUGUACGUGCAUGCUCGCUCGAGCACGAAUUAGGCGGAGCAGCAGGAGGAGAGAGGCCAGAGGUGCGCGUGCAUGUGUCACCAGCUAGCUCGAUCUCGUGGUCUUUAAUGCCGACGAGAAGGGAGGAUGAGAGAGAGAGAGAGAGACGGGGCUGAGCAUGCACGCGCGAUCGAGGGGAUUUGGCCUUAAAUAGAAAAGGGCGAGGGGAGGCGAUCGAUCUGAUCCCUGCGCUGGUCCCCGGCCGGCGGACUGGCCGGAUGGGACUGUAGACUACGGAUCGUCGCAGCAGCACGGAGAGGCGCAGGCCCAUGGCACGGCGUGCAGGCGCAGCACGUACUGAAUCUCUCUGACCACACGUGCACUCGGCUCACUCGCUGCCACACUGCCGCCAUCUCUUUCUCACGCGCCGCUUGAUCCCAUCUGCCAUCUGCCCGGUGACCGUGGUCCUCUGAUUGUGGAUUUGCAUGCCAAGCGUCAUCUCAACCUUAUGCUGAUUGUGGAUUUGCAUGCCAAGCGUCAUCUCAACCUUAUGCUGUUUUCUUUCCAAUUUUUUCACACACACUAAAUUAAGUUAUGUAGUUCUACACAGCUGAACGGUGAACCUUCAUUUCUCUCUUAAUUUUUUAUUCCAAAGUUAUCUGCUUACCGCCCGCUUUCAGGCGAGGAUUUCAACCCUGAUGGCUGGGUAGAGGUGGAGUCAUGCAUUUUUUAGCAGGGCUACAUAUUUGAAUGUUUCAGAUAGCGAGGACGAAGACGAACAGUGGUUAGUGGUCAUCACGGGUCUUAGCUCAUCCUUUCUCCCACACUUUGGCAACAAAGGGCUGUGUGUGGGUCAAGCAGCAAAUCCUUUGCUCAUGUCCACACUUGGCCUAGCUGGGAGGAAAUCAGGAAAAGACGACGAGCGCCGCUGCUCCCCGGCCUUCCCGUCCAUUCCCAGUAUCACCCGUGCACAGGCCUCUCCGAGCUCUUCGCUCCACUACUACUGUAUCCGCGCGGGGCAUGCACGCCCGGCCGCAACUUGGCUGCCCGCCUGCCACCACCGUCUUAUUGUCCUAGUUCUUUUUUCGCGUCGGUGCCAUGCGUGUUGCCGUUGCUCCGCCGCGCACGUCCGGCCCCACCGUGGGAUUUUCAUUAUACCCAGCCCAGCCACCAGCGACCUCCUUCUCCUGAUGGGUCCUGAGUCCUGAUCGAUCACAGGCGACCCGUGUUGGAUCGGAUCGGAGUUGAGUCUCAUAAGUCAGGUCUUGUCUGAAAUUAUUGGGCAUAUAUAUAGACGAAUUAUACUAUACCUUCAUGUAUAUUAUUAGCCUCCCCUGGCUUGUACCAUAGUGGGCAAGACAAAGGCUUAACUACUGCUAGUACUGUUGGAAUCUUGAAUUUCUUGCGAUUUUUC